rnacentral:rRNA from 1 species
GAUCCUGGCUUAGGACGAACGCUGGCGGCGUGCUUAAUACAUGCAAGUCGAACGAAGCCUAGUCUUUAGUUUACUAUAGACGAAAGCUUAGUGGCGGACGGGUGAGUAACGCGUGGAGAAUCUGCCCUCAAGACCGGGAUAACAGAGCGAAAGUUCUGCUAAAACCGGAUAUGCUCUGAGAGCCGCAUGGUUUAAAGAGGAAAACGUUAGUGCUUGAGGAUGGCUCCGCGUCCCAUUAGCUAGUUGGUAAGGUAACGGCUUACCAAGGCGACGAUGGGUAGCCGGCCUGAGAGGGUGACCGGCCACACUGGGACUGAGACACGGCCCAGACUCCUACGGGAGGCAGCAGUAGGGAAUUUUCCGCAAUUGGGCGAAAGCCUGACGGAGCAACGCCGCGUGAAGGAUGAAGGCCUUCGGGUCGUAAACUUUUGUCUUUGGGGACGAUAAUGACGGUACCCAAGGAGGAAGCCCCGGCUAACUACGUGCCAGCAGCUGC